rnacentral:rRNA from 1 species
UACGUAGGGUGCGAGCGUUGUCCGGAAUUAUUGGGCGUAAAGGGCUCGUAGGCGGUCUGUUGCGUCAGGAGUGAAAACUCGGGGCUUAACCCCGAGCCUGCUUCUGAUACGGGCAGACUAGAGGUAUGCAGGGGAGAACGGAAUUCCUGGUGUAGCGGUGAAAUGCGCAGAUAUCAGGAGGAACACCGGUGGCGAAGGCGGUUCUCUGGGCCUGUGCUGACGCUGAGGAACGAAAGCGUGGGGAGCGAACAGG